GUCCCCGUAGCUCAGUGGAUAGAGCACCGGUCUCCGGAACCGGGUGCGCAGGUUCGAUUCCUGUCGGGGACG
rnacentral:tRNA from 1 species